rnacentral:rRNA from 1 species
AUGGAGCUAACUAGAAUUCUUUAGUGUCUAUGCACUAAGAAGUAUGUAAUAAAGGAAAAUGACGCGAUAUUACGAAGAGUACAGACUAAUGGCCGUGCCAGCAGUUGCGGUAAAACGGCUUGUACAAACGUUAAUCUUCUUUAAUAGGCAUAAAGGGUUCGCGGGCGGCUUUCUUUUUAUGGGGAGAGCUUGAAUCAAAUAGAGGAUAAAUACAACACUUGGAUCAGGGCCGAUAUCCUUAUACCCCAAGGUGAGUGUUAAAUGCGAAGGCAAUUAUCUGGUAAUGAUUGACGCUGAGGAACUAAGGUUUGGGUCGGGAACAGGAUUAGGUACCCAGGUACUCCUUACAGUCAACGAUGAAUGUUAGAUGUUAAUUGUAUUCAAUUAGUGUCAAUGUGAAAAAUACGUUAAACAUUCCGCCUUGUCAGUAUACUUGCAAAAGUGAAAACAAAAAAAUUAGUCGGUUUCGGAGCAAACGAAGUGAAGCAUGUUGUUUAAUACGAUAAUCCG